rnacentral:lncRNA from 1 species
CAGAAUUAUCUCUUUUGUCUCUUUUCAUGUACCUGAAUUUAUUAUGCAGUUUAAUACUUUCUCCAUCACACACUGAUCAUAUAUUGACUCAGUCCACUCUUUUUAAUACUGAUGGAAUCUAUCUGUGAUCUCUUGAGGUGUGGUUUCCUCUGCUGUUGAGAAGCGCCUGGUGUCUGCAAAGCCCUGUGCUGCUACUGAGAGACCGUAUCAUGCCCGGGUAGUGUACGAGCUUCAGGAUGGACACAGCACCACAUGUGCUGGCACACUCAUCCAUAUGCAAUGGGUGAUCACUGCAUCACACUGCUAUGGGGGGCCUGGCGGCAUUCUGACAGUGGAGCUUGGUGGACAUCCAAAGAACGCUGAGAAAAUGACACUGCGCAUUGAACACGCCAACGUCUUCAAUUAUNNNCAAUUAUAUGAGCCCAUCAUAUUGCUGAAGCUUCCAAAGAC